rnacentral:lncRNA from 1 species
AAAAUUAAAAAUUAAAAAUUUUAAUUUUAAUUUUAGCUUUAAACAUUUAUAAUUGGAAAUUUCAAAAUUUAAGUUUAUAGUUUUAAAUUUUAAAUUUUAAUAUAAUAUUUUAUAUUUUUUUAAUAUAAAUUUUGUUAUUUAUAUUUUAAAAUUUAAAUUUGAUCUUAAAUUUUAAAUUUUAAAUUUUGAAAUUAAAAAUUUAAGAGUUUAAUUUCAAUUUUUGAAUUUUAAAGAAAGUAUUUUUAGGAUCACCUUGCUUGUUCCACCAGUAAAAUUUAAAUUUUCUAAAUUCAAAAAUUAAAAUUUAUAAUUUUAAAAUUACAAAAUUAAAAAUUUAAAUUUUAAAUUGUUUAAUUUAAAAUUUUAAAUUUUGAUAUUUUAAUUUUUUUAUAUUUAGAAUAUGAUAUUUUGUAUUUUUAAAUUAAAUUUUCAUCUUAAAUUAAAGUUUAAAAUUUAAAAAAUUAAUUUUUUAAAAUUAUAAAUUUGAGAUUUUAAAAUUUUAAAUUUUAAUUUUAAUUUUUAAACUUUAAAAGUUUAUAUUUUAAAUUUUAAAAUAUAAAUAUAAAAUAUAAAAAUUUAAAUUCUAAUAUAAAGAAAAAAAUAAUAUCAUUAUUUUUUAUUUAUAAAUACUCACUUUAAUUCUUAUCCCAUCUUACCUAACCAAACGCUAUUUUUCUUAUUCUCAGGAAUACUUAAUUUUCAUCCAAACGCAAAAUUCAUCUAAUCCCCGUUUAUACCUCAAUUUAUACCUAUUCCCGGAAUAUCCACUUUUUGCUUAUCCCCGAACCAAACGAUACCAUAAGGAAAAGGUACUACAAUGCAAUCCUACAAUGCAACAUGCAAGAGAUGUAAAUCAUGUAUCUCUAAGACAUAGAAAAGAGUUCGGUUGCUUCGGGAUGACACCCCCCACCUUUUGAGGGUAUGAAGGUUCUAAAAAUGCUUCUCGCCGAACGUUACGACGAUGU